rnacentral:rRNA from 1 species
GAUGAACGCUGGCGGCGUGCUUAACACAUGCAAGUCGAACGAAGCACCUUGAUUUGAUUCUUCGGAUGAAGAUCUUGGUGACUGAGUGGCGGACGGGUGAGUAACGCGUGGGUAACCUGCCUCAUACAGGGGGAUAACAGUUAGAAAUGACUGCUAAUACCGCAUAAGACCACAGUACCGCAUGGUACAGGGGUAAAAACUCCGGUGGUAUGAGAUGGACCCGCGUCUGAUUAGGUAGUUGGUGGGGUAACGGCCUACCAAGCCGACGAUCAGUAGCCGGCCUGAGAGGGUGACCGGCCACAUUGGGACUGAGACACGGCCCAAACUCCUACGGGAGGCAGCAGUGGGGAAUAUUGCACAAUGGGGGAAACCCUGAUGCAGCGACGCCGCGUGAGCGAUGAAGUAUUUCGGUAUGUAAAGCUCUAUCAGCAGGGAAGAAAAUGACGGUACCUGACUAAGAAGCACCGGCUAAAUACGUGCCAGCAGCCGCGGUAACAC